CAGAAACCUUGUCUCUUCUUGGAUCUUGAGCUUGCCAGCUUUCAGACUGGAACUUACACCAUAGGUGUUCUGGUUCUCAAGCCUUUGAACUCAGACUGGACAUGAAUGUUGGCUUUCCUAGGUCAUCAGCUUGCUGACUGCAGAUCUUGGGACUUCUCAGCCUCUGUAAUCACGGCAAAUAGAAGCAUUUGCUGAACACCAGGAGGAGAAGGGGAUGACAGAGGAUGAGAUGGCUCGAUGGCAUCACUGACUCGAUGGAUGUGAGUCUGAGUGAACUCCGGGAGAUGGUGAUGGACAAGGAGGCCUGGCGUGCUGCAAUUCAUGGGGUCGCAAAGAGUCGGACACAACUGAGUGACUGAACUGAACUGAACUGAACUGAACAUCCCUCAGCAAUUCACACUUCCAUGCCUUUGUUUAUGUAAGAAUGUUUUAUCUGUGUCACUGGUUCCAGAAAAAAAUAGAAAUAUUUAAAUCAUUGUUUCACA
ensembl:lncRNA